UCCUCAUUUAUCCUAGGAUGGCAGGACCUGCAGAUUCUUGAUUAGAUUUUAGAUGCAAAUAAAGAACUUGGAAUUAUUCCCCAAGAAGCUCCUUCUUCUGAAACCAAGAGGGUCUGACAGAGAUGACAUCAACAGAAGCUCAGGCUAGAAGGAAGAUGAGGUAGCAGUGGGCCUGGUCUGCCCCGCCCCCAAGAGUGACUGGCAGCUCACACAGCCUGAAUCGACAAGAUUUUAAAAAACAUGUAUGUUUUGGUUUUCACAAAUUCUCCCACCUGUUGGUAAGUACUUUUGAAAACUUAAAUCGUAGACUCAUUCCUUUAUGACAGUUUCCAACAGAUGUUCCCUAUAUAAAAUCUUCUCAGACUACCCUUAACUUCCUCUGAAGCCCAGGGCUCAUUUCCGUCUGUAAUUCUGACAUCUACCAUCUUACAGGGG
rnacentral:lncRNA from 1 species